CAGUCGCCGCGGGAAUACGAAGGGUGCAAGCGUUAAUCGGAAUUACUGGGCGUAAAGCGUGCGUAGGUGGUGGUUUAAGUCCGUUGUGAAAGCCCUGGGCUCAACCUGGGAAUUGCAGUGGAUACUGGGUCACUAGAGUGUGGUAGAGGAUAGUGGAAUUUCCGGUGUAGCAGUGAAAUGCGUAGAGAUCGGAAGGAACAUCUGUGGCGAAGGCGACUAUCUGGGCCAACACUGACACUGAGGCGCGAAAGCGUGGGGGGCAAACAGGAUUAGAUACCCCGGUAGUCCCUGUCUCUUAUAC
rnacentral:rRNA from 1 species